rnacentral:tRNA from 1 species
UCCCUGGUGGUCCAGUGGCUAGGACUCUGCAUUUCCACUGCAGGGGGCCCGGGUUCGAUCCCUGGUCGGGGAA